UGACAAUGAUAGGAAAGAAGUAAAGAGUGCUACAAUGUUAUAGCAAUAGAAAAUAACUGAAGAGUGUUAUAGGAAAUGUAGAAAAAUUAUUUUGUGUGAAAUAUUUAUGUGAAAUAUUAAAGAGCACAGGAAUGACCACUCUGGCCAAGCCUUAGCUGCACCAUAUAGAUAAGACCAUAGCUGAAUGCUCCCCUUAGGAAUGACGUCUGUAAACCUGAUAGACACCUUCUGAGUGACACUGUAGCUGAUAACCAGCCUGUACUCUGAUUAACACUUUUGUAAUGACGUACGUUACUGAUAGCCAUCUGGACUGCCGUGGGUCAGGACAGGCUUAAAAACGGGUCCCCAGACAUCGAUCCUCUUUUUGAUCCAUGCUCCACGCUGCCUUGCUCCACGUCAGAGGGCGGAAGAACGCCAAACCUCUUCCUGCUGACUCGACCCAACCGGACGGCCAGCCACCCAAAGACGGAUCCACCGCUGCCCGCAGAGGAUGCCACUCUUUCCUGGGGACCCCGUUAAGUCUGAGCCCACGGCACCAGGAACCUUGUGAAUAAUAAAAUCAAGAAACAAGGAUGUUCACGGCAGCACGAGAAGUGGGGUUCAGACAAGUGCACGGCGUGGCAGAGAAGCUGGUCUUACCACUUUGGUGUGGGUAGUAGAGGCAGAGACCUCAGUGCUUUCGGUUUCAACUCCUUUCUGCACCCCACUAAGCCAUUUCUUGUAUUCCAUUCGCACCUGCUUGGGGAAAAUUGAUAAGACAUCUCCUUAGGACAUCUGCUGGACUGUGUUCUGGAAAGCAAACUAACGUUUCAAGACAACCCCCCUGGUAUCUGCUCAACUUCAACACAAACCUCCUCCCUUCCUUGUUGCUUAGCAACAAACAGCCACUGCUUAAAAGAGCAGACCACCCUUUCUUCCCUGCCCUGUAUUGACUAGCAAUACUUGACCCUUUCCUCUCUUGGAGAGUAAAAUCAAUUUCCUCUCUGCAAAUCUUCUUUCAGUUGUGAAUUCUUUCACAG